UGAAUAACCUGUGGGGGAAGCAUUUAAAUCCAAUCAUCUAGAGGCAUUGAUCUUCAUUAAUAAUUGCAACAUGAUCCUAAGGGCUAUCAUGUCUGCUUGUGGGGAUGCAGACGACUAUAUGCGUACUUUUGAAGCUUCUCACUUAGCAAAAAAAACUUGAUGAGAGGAGAUUAAUAGUUUGCCUUGGCCUAGGGAAGUUGGCCUAGGGAAGUUGAAUUUUUCUACGGAGGGCCUCCUUGCCAAAGAUUUUAUGGAAUUAAUCAGUUUAAUCAAGGCUCUUGGAGUAGGGCCUCA
rnacentral:misc_RNA from 1 species